AACGAACGCUGGCGGCAUGCCUAACACAUGCAAGUCGAACGGGAUCCUAGCUUGCUAGGUGAGAGUGGCGGACGGGUGAGUAACACGUGGGAAUCUGCCUUUUGGUUCGGGAUAACCGCGGGAAACUGCGGCUAAUACCGAAUGCCUCGAGAGAGGAAAGAUUUAUCGCCAGAAGAGGAGCCCGCGUCCGAUUAGGUAGUUGGUGGGGUAAAGGCCUACCAAGCCGACGAUCGGUAGCUGGUCUGAGAGGAUGAUCAGCCACACUGGGACUGAGAUACGGCCCAGACUCCUACGGGAGCAGCAGUGGGAAUAUUGGACAAUGGGGGCAACCCUGAUCCAGCAAUGCCGCGUGAGUGAUGAAGGCCUUAGGUGUAAGCUCUUUGCC
rnacentral:rRNA from 1 species